rnacentral:SRP_RNA from 1 species
GCUGGGCGCGGUGGCUCACGCCUGUAAUCCCAGCCCUUUGGGAGGCCGAGGCGGGCGGAUCACCUGAGGUCGGGAGUUCGAGACCAGCCUGACCAACAUGGAGAAACCCCGCCUCUA